UUGCUCUCAGAGGAAGGCUGUGCUUCUCUGGCCUCAGCUCUGACCUCCAAACCCCUCCCAUCUGAAAGAGUUGGACCUGACCUGCAAUCAUCCAGGAGACUCAGGAGUGAAGCUGCUGUCGGCUGGACUGAAGGAUCCACACUGGAGACUGGAAGCUCUCAGGGUGGAGCCUGCUGGAGGCCGAUUCUUGACUCCAGGUCUGAGGAAAUAUUCCUGUCAACUCACCAUCGACACAAACACAGUGAACAGAAAACUCAAACUGUCUGAAGACAACAGGAAGGUGACAUGUGUGAAGGAGCUUCAGUCAUAUCCUGAUCAUCCAGACAGAUUUGAUUACUGGGCUCAGCUGCUGUGUAGAACUGGUCUGACUGGUCGAUGUUACUGGAGGUCGAGUGGAGAGGAACAGUUUAUAUAUCAGUGAGUUACAGAAGAAUCAGGAGGAAAGGAGACAGUAGAGACUGUUUGUUUGGAUGUAAUGAUCAUUCCUGGAGGCUGAUCUGCUCUGAUCGUCAUGGUUACUCUGUCUGGCACAAUAACAUAAAAACUCGUCUCUCCUCCUCCUCUGACUCUAAAAGAGUAGCAGUGUAUGUGGACUGUCCUGCUGGCAUUCUGUUCUUCUACAGAGUCUCCUCUGACUCACUGAUCCUCCUCCACACCUUCAACACCACAUUCACUGAACCUCUGAUUCCUGGAUUUGGGUUCUUGUGGUCCAGUUCUGGUUCUUCAGUGUUUCUGAGCUGAUUUGAGUCUAAAGAGUCUAAAGUUUUUCAUCCUGCUAGAAAAUCUCACUGAUUAAAAGAUAGUUCAGUCUCUAUAUGUCUGUUUUAUUCAGAAACAUAUUUUUAUGGAUUCAAACUGUUUCUUGGUUAAACUUUUCUACAAAAUCCUGGGAUUAUUCCAGGAUUAUUCCAGGAUUAUUCCAAGAUUAUAACUGGAUUAACAUGUUUUUUUUCUGUUUCCAGUCAAAGAUUCACAAUGAAUCUCCAGAUGUUUUGUUUCUCUCUUGAUUUUUUUUCUUUCUUUUAUCAUCAGAUUCUUUGAAUUUACUGCAGUUUUUCUCAAUUACUGAAUAUUUUUGUUUCAGUUAUCUCCUAUAUUCUUAAAUUCA